rnacentral:rRNA from 1 species
GCGACCCCAGGUCAGGUGGGGCUACCCG